GGAGCUGCCUGGUCGGAGCACCUGCCGCUCGUGCGGCCGCCCCGCCCUGGGCUGACCCGGGUGUUCAUGGGGUCUUCGCCGAAUACCGGAUCCCUCAGAAACCGAGAAUUGAGGCUUGAGACCGUGCCUCUCAGGAGAGAGGCAGCCUUGCCCUCCACGGUUUACCGAAGUCCGCUGAGAGAGGUCCGCGGGCAUCCUCCGCGUCCACAGCGGGCACUAGGGCUGCAGCCUGCGCGCCCCCCGACCUCCCGGCCACCUGGCCCCGCCCGGAUAGUGCUGCUGCCCUGAACCUGGGCGGCGGCAGUGCUGCCUAAUCCGAAGACACCAGCCUCGGACUGCUGAUCCUUCUGCAGAGUUUGAACUGUGAAGGGGAAAGAACAGGUCUUCGCUUUAGAAGCUAGGCCUGCCUCGAGGGCCUGGAUUCUAAGAAGUAGCGAGGAGGCCGCAGGAGCAUACAUAGGUCCUGAGGGCAUCCGAACCCCUACCAGCCCAGCCCAGCACUGACUUCACCCCACCUACCUCUUGGAAGGGAAGCAGCGGAUGAAAACAGAGGAGGGACCGGGCAGUCCCAGCAGGAUGGGGAAGCAGACAGACCUAUGACACACCAAGCAGCUCCAGAGCCAUGACCAGCCCCUGACAAGGAGCAGCAGAAGUCUCAAAGCCUGUGAUGACCAGCCUGAGCUCACAGCAGCCCUGCUGACUGCUGUGCCCUGCACCUUGUAGAGGAUCUGCUGGGAGGACCUGGCUUCCUGGGAGGCAAAACUUCCUUGAAGAAAACACCUCUCCAUUCAUUCACGAAAUACUGUCUAGGCAGCUGUGAUGACUAAGACCUGGCCCUUGCCGUGGGAGGGGUGCUGGCACAGCCAGGAUUAUAGCAGGGCAGUGUGUGAUGGAGAUGUAAGGUGCUGGGGGGCUAGAGGAGGGAGGGAUCAGCAGAGCUGGGGCAGGGGAGUGCAGAAGGGGCUACAGAUGUGGUGGACUCAGGUCUGUGCCUUCCAUGGGAGUAGCUAUUCCAGAAGAGAGCUGCUGCUAUUUGCUGUGUUUAAUCAGUCAAUCCAGUGCAUAUUUACUGAGUACCCGAGGACCCUGAAGACAUCCUGUCUCCUCCCUGAGCCCCUGUUUCUUCACUUGAAUAAUGAGGAAAUUAGACUAGGUAAAUUCUAGGGACAAACUGAGUCCCAGAUACAGAGCUAAGAAGUACAGAUUUGGGUUUUUUUCCCCUAAAUACUGUGUUAUUGAUCUAAUUUAAUAACUCUAUUGUGGUCAGAGAAUUUACUUCGUAUGACUGAAUACAUUUACAUGUAUAGAGACUUGUUUUAUGGCCCAGAAUAUGGUCCUUCUUGGUAUAUGGUCUGUGUGUACUUGAAAAGAAUGUGCAUUUUGCUACUGUUGGUGGAAUUUUACGUCAGAUCCUGUUGGUUGAUGGUGUUGUUAACGUCUAUAUCUUUUCUGUUUAUGUCUAGUUUUGGUGGAGUUUUUUUAUUUUUUAUUUUUUUUAGGGCUGCACCUGCCGCAUAUGGAAGUUCCAAGGCUAGGGGUUGAAUUGGAGCUGCAGCUGCUGGCCUGUGCCACAGCCACAGCAAUGCCAGAUCCAAGCCCCACCUGUGACCUACACCACAGUUCACGGCAAUGCCAGAUCCAUAAACUACUGAGCAAGGCCAGGGACUGAACCAUGUCCUCCUGGAUACUAGUCGGGUUCAUUACCGCUGAGUCACAAUGGGAAUUCCUGCUUUUGUCUAGUUCUGUCAGUUGUUGAUGGCAGGGGCGGGGGGCGCGAUAUCCCCACCUAUAUCUGUAUCCAUAAGCCUAUUUAUUGUCUGUUUCUUCUUUCUGUUCUAUCAGUUUUUGUUUCCCACAAUUUGCAAAUGGUUGUUUGGUGUAUACAC